rnacentral:misc_RNA from 1 species
GAUGAAGAACGCAGCGAAAUGCGAUACGUAAUGUGAAUUGCAAAUUCAGUGAAUCAUCGAGUCUUUGAACGCACAUUGCGCCCCCUGGUAUUCCGGGGGGCAUGCCUGUCCGAGCGUCAUUGCUGCCCUCAAGCACGGCUUGUGUGUUGGGCCCCGUCCUCCGAUCCCGGGGGACGGGCCCGAAAGGCAGCGGCGGCACCGCGUCCGGUCCUCGAGCGUAUGGGGCUUUGUCACCCGCUCUGUAGGCCCAGCCGGCGCUUGCCGAUCAACCCAAAUUUUUUAUCCAGGUUGACCUCGGAUCAGGUAGGGAUACCCGCUGAACUUAAGCAUAUCAAUAAGCGGAGGA